GUAGCCAUUCACAAAAAAAAACUCCACGUAGCCCUCAAAACAAAUCUAUCUACUCCACGUCUCAUACUCUUCCCGUAAAAUAGAUUGAAGCAAUCGUACGCCAUAGAAUCUCCUGUAUCUCUCCUCCCCAUGAGAAACAACUCAAUGUCUCUCAAAUUGGAACAAACAAGUAGAGGAAUUGAUAGUUGAGGAACUAAUCUGGUGCGCUCAGGCCAUGGAUCUGGUGCAUUAAUCAGGAAGUUACUUCAUCAAAAUUAUUUUUGUCUUUGGAUCAGAUUGAAUCUCGGAUCUUCUCACAUACAACUUUUGGAUUCUCAAUCUCUCUCACGUGUUCCUAAACACCAUAUAGCAGCGGCCAUCGUCCACCACUGCUAAUGACCCCAACAUCGCCGAUGCUUAUUAGACCAUCCCAUCCGAAAUGUCCAUGUGUGCUAGGAAGAAAAUAUUCGGUCGUUGUGCUACUGAAAGGUGCUGUGAUGUGUAUUCUUCAUUUGGCAAUAUUACACCAGGUAGCAUAUUUAACCUGUAUGACAUCUUCGGUUGAUGCUGAGCCAAGAAGAGCAAGGGUUCGAAAGAAUAGAAAGUUAUGGCCUCCACCAUUCAUCAUUUUCUACCCCCAUGGCAUGCAGCGAGGAAAUGGAUCCAUGGAAACGAUCAUGCUGGUGGAUGGCGGUGAUGUGGAAACUCCAGAUGGCGGCGCCUUGCAGAGUUUAGACAAAAUUCUAUGUUGAAUCCUGAGUGUAAAUUACUCACUUCUGGUCUCGCACAAAAGAAAAGAGUCAGAUCCUUGGACUGCAGGAAUUAUCUUCAGAGUUUAUGAUGGUCUUAACAAAAAAUGGCCCAAUAAAUGCAGUGUGUGCACAAAAUCCUUCAGCUAAACCAUUCCUACAUGUACGUCAUCCUACAAAUACUUCAUUACAUGGUGUACUGUAGAGCCUAAAUACUAUAUUAUGAUUGUUUUCUUCUCGCACUAUCUUUGACAUACACACACACACUAUGAUUGUUCAGAGGAACAUUAGCUUACAUACUACGAUUGUUUUCUUCUCGCAUACUAAGCACACUGAGACUAUUAUUUUUUUGCACAGAAGAACAAUACAGCGUUGCAUUUUCAUUCAGUGAGAGCAGUACUAAGAACAGCACAAAGUGCAGAGCAGGGAAACAUCUACUGAGCUAGAAAUGAGAAAAAUAAAACAGCUGGAUUAUAUCAUCUGAACAUAAUUCAGCUGAACUAGGGACAUGGUCAAAACUUUAUAUGGACAUUAUGUUUUUACUUCCAAAUAACUGACAACUGUAGUUUCAAAAACCAAAGUUACCAAAUUGCCGACUA